rnacentral:lncRNA from 1 species
CGGGGGACCGGCGCCAGGGCUAGGGCCCGCGCUUCCCGGCGGCACCGGCAGCAUCCCGGACUCACGGACGGCUCGAGAGCCCGGCCGAAGCCCCGACCCCGCGGCACGGUCUGCGGCACCCCUCCGCGCUCCGGCCGGCGCCAGGGGCGGCACUGCCCUUCCAGGGACUGAGCCGAGCGCAAGGCCGCGUUCUCGCAGGCCUGUGCCGAAGCCCACGUCUUCCCGCCGCAGGCCCCGCCUUCCCUGGGCACCCCUCGCCUUUAGCUUUACCUGUGCCGGGCCGGCGACUGGAAAUUCCUCAAGACCCGGUGGGAAUCUGCUGUCGUGACGCAGUGAAGUCGCCUAAUGAGAGAGUUCACCAGACCAGAGGAAACAAAUACUACAUGAAGUGCUGGAGGAUGGGCAGGUCCAGGGUGUCACAUGCUGGUGAUGUUGGAACCACUAUGACAGAACCAUUCACAUUGGGUCCCACCAAGAAGAAAGCCUUCAGCAGGACGGCAGCCAAGGUGACUGAGGCUGGGGUUGGGGGGCGGGGGCGCAGCCCCGCGUGGUGUGAUGGUCCCUGACGUGGCCUUGCCACAUG